GAGGAAGGUGGGGAUGACGUCAAGUCCUCAUGGCCCUUAUGUCCUGGGCUACACACGUGCUACAAUGGCGGUGACAGUGGGAAGCCAGGCAGCGAUGCCGAGCUGAUCCUCAAAAGCCGUCUCAGUUCGGAUUGCACUCUGCAACUCGGGUGCAUGAAGGUGGAAUCGCUAGUAAUCGUGGAUCAGCAUGCCACGGUGAAUACGUUCCCGGGCCUUGUACACACCGCCCGUCACACCAUGGGAUUUGGUUUGGCCUUAAGUUGGUGCGCUAACCGCAAGGAGGCAGCCAACCACGGUCGGGUUAGAGACUGGGGUGAAGUCGUAACAAGGUAGCCGUAA
rnacentral:rRNA from 1 species